rnacentral:lncRNA from 1 species
UUAAUCUACCCCAAAAGACAUCAUAUGCCUUGUUGACGCUGCUUAACCAAAUCGAUUAGAUGCUCAUAACUCCAACUUUGACUCCUUGUAUGGUCAACCUCUUCAACAAUCUUUAGAAAAUCCCCCUUUCCAAAAGCAACAAGAACCAAAGGGUCAGUUUUUAACUCCACAACAUCCCCAAAAAAUCUCAUCUUUAUCCUAUAAUCCAACUCAUCAAACCCAAACCCGAAACCGGACCCAUGUGCAUCAUACAAAAUCCCACAAGUAACAAUGUCGGGUUUCACAUUUCGAGCUUCCAUUUCCAAGAUCACGCCUUUAAAGCGUCUAAAAUCUUUCAUUUUGGCAUACGCACAUAGUAUUGUGUUUGCGAUCGUCACACUCCAUUUAACUUUCCUGUAGUCCAUUUCACGCACGAUAGACUCCAUUCCUGUUCGGCUCAGAAGACAAGCAUGCGAAAGCAUUCUUAAACACCACACGAUGUUCGUGUUGCCGGUUCUGGAAUAAAGUCUGAUACCCAUAUCGUCUAACUUAGAAAACAUGUACUUUUCUAUAUAAACAGCGGCCACUUUACGAAUCAAAUCAUCGUUCAAAUAAACUCUCGGUUUCAACCUCAUAACUGUUCUAUAAAUCUUUUCCAUCUUCUCCAAAUCCCCAAAACUAGCAUACGCCUCGAGCAUUGCCAUGACGGUAGAAGCUUCAAGAUCCAUCUUUUUCGAGAUCACAAUCCUGUAUGUUCUUUCCAUCCUCUUGAUCAAUCCAGCUAGUGAAAACUCCCUAAUUAGCAAAUUGUAAGUCGACUGAUCCGGGAAGCAUCCGUUCGAUUCCAUUCUCUUCACACAUUUCGCCAUUUCAUCAUACAAACCAUUCUUCGCAUAUGAUUUAAUCAGCCCGUUAUAUAUUGAAGCAUGUGGCUUCAUUUCAUUAUCUUCCAUCACCUUAAGAUGAAACAACGCGUCUUCAAAUCGAUCGCUUUUAACAAAACCGUAGACGAUCAUACGGUAAAUCUCGGACGAUGGCUGCACACCCCAAAUAUCUUUCAUCUGGUUUAAAGCCAACACUGCAAUAUCAACCAAUCCCUCCUCAACCAACAGCCUUACAAUUCUCUCGUAAUUAAACACGCUAACUCGAGAUUCGUCUUUGCUAGACCAUUCAUCAAACACCUGGUGUGCAACAUUCCAACAUUACAAAACAUGGAAAUUUAACAAUGUAAAGCUCAAUUCCCCCAAACGGGUACCCUUUCAAUUCAUCUAACAAACAAAAUUCAAAACAAAUCAACAUUCACCUGAAGAAUCUGGUUCGAUCUUGAGGUUUGAUUGAGGAAUCCAACAACAGCCCAGAAGAGUUCUUUGCUCCAAUCUCCAUCUUCUUCGAGAAUACGAACUGGGUCAGAGUCUUUAUGCUUGAGCUUCUCGAAUAGAGUUCGUUUGAGGGUCCAAUUUUCGUGGAGAUCGUCGAAUUGGACUGUGUUUUGUUUGUAGGAGGUGGUUUUACGACGUGGGAUAUGUGCUGAAGGAGGGAGUUUGGAUGAACGAGAGAAUUGGGGUUUUGUACGUGUUAGGGCUCUGGUUGAGGGUUUGGGAAGAACUAGGGUUUUACAGAGGAAGAUUUUGUCAGUAAUGGUCAUGGAAGGAAGGAGUAUCUCCAUGGCAGUUCUGUAAGUGUGUGUGUGUGUGUUUUUCUCUUUGAGAGGAAACUGUUAUUUAAACGAUGAUUAUGUUUUUUUUUAUUUUAUUUUAUUUUAUUAUUUUUUUUUUGAAAGGCUUAAACACUGAUUAUGUGCUAUUUGUUUUUUAAAAGGUAAAAUGUUCGGACAUAUUUUUGAACAUACCUAGAAAAAAAGAUAAAUCAAAACUCUGUAGGAAGAAAAUUGAUUGUUUUUUUAAUAUAUGUAGACUUUUAAAAUAAACUGGUGGUGGUGGUGGGUGGUUGUGGUGGUAUUGGACGGUGGUGGACGUGGACGGUGGGUGGUGGUGGACGGUUGACGGUGGUGAUGAUGGACGGUCGUGGGUGAUGGACGGUGGUGGUGGGUGGUGGUGUGACCUUAGAAUAUCUUAGAAGUAGCUCGGCUAAGUCUGCACCAAGAAGAGAUCGCGCAGACGUUUUUUAGUGAAACGUCUUCGUAAAAACAAACAGUCUGCAUACGGUAAUGUUUGCUCGUGGUCUGCUAUUAGAAUGAGUUAAAUCGUAACGGUGUUUGUAUUAGUGUGUAUUUCUUAACAUUAAACUAUUAAAAUGUACAAUGUUAUUAGAAUAUAAGUCAAAUUUGAAAAAAAAAAUUGAGGAUCUGACACAAAAAGUAGUUUGAGGUUUGAUAUAUUGAUACGGUGGAAGCAAAACACGUUACAAUACCCAACUCUCUAAAAAUGAUAAAGAUAUAUUGGUGGUUCUACUUUCAGUCGUUGUUUAAGUUGAUUUUCAAUACCGGUGGAGGAUAUUAG